rnacentral:rRNA from 1 species
UACGUAGGGUGCAAGCGUUAAUCGGAAUUACUGGGCGUAAAGCGUGCGCAGGCGGUUUUGCAAGACAGAUGUGAAAUCCCCGGGCUCAACCUGGGAACUGCAUUUGUGACUGCAAGGCUAGAAUCUGGCAGAGGGGGGUAGAAUUCCACGUGUAGCAGUGAAAUGCGUAGAUAUGUGGAGGAAUACCAAUGGCGAAGGCAGCCCCCUGGGCUAAGAUUGACGCUCAUGCACGAAAGCGUGGGGAGCAAACAGG